GACGAACGCUGGCGGCGCGCCUAACACAUGCAAGUCGAACGAGCGAGAGAGAGCUUGCUUUCUCGAGCGAGUGGCGAACGGGUGAGUAACGCGUGAGGAACCUGCCUCAAAGAGGGGGACAACAGUUGGAAACGACUGCUAAUACUGCAUAAGCCCACGGCUCGGCAUCGAGCAGGGGGAAAAGGAGCAAUCCGCUUUGAGAUGGCCUCGCGUCCGAUUAGCUAGUUGGUGAGGUAACGGCCCACCAAGGCGACGAUCGGUAGCCGGACUGAGAGGUUGAACGGCCACAUUGGGACUGAGACACGGCCCAGACUCCUACGGGAGGCAGCAGUGGGGAAUAUUGCACAAUGGGGGAAACCCUGAUGCAGCGACGCCGCGUGGAGGAAGAAGGUCUUCGGAUUGUAAACUCCUGUUGUUGGGGAAGAUAAUGACGGUACCCAACAAGGAAGUGACGGCUAACUACGUG
rnacentral:rRNA from 1 species